ACCCCACCCAAAUAAGCCGGCCGUGGUCAAUGUCAAGUGUUGCUAUGGUGUGCUCGUGGUGGGAACAGUAAGCCUGAAAUGUGUAUGGCUAUUUGUGUGAUUACAUUUUAGCCAAAGGAAAUUCAGAGACA